rnacentral:rRNA from 1 species
AACCUUUACAAUGCACGAAAGUGUGAUAAGGGGAUCCCAAGUGCUUAUCUUUGAUAGGCUUUUGCCAAGUGUAAAAAGCUUGGCGAAUAAGGGGUGGGCAAGACUGGUGCCAGCCGCCGCGGUAACACCAGCGCCUCGAGUGGCAAUCGCGUUUAUUGGGCCUAAAGCGUUCGUAGCAGGUCUUGUAAAUCUUUUGUGAAAUCGGCAGGCUUAACUUGUCGGCAUGCAGAAGACACUGCAGGGCUUGAGACCGGGAGAAGUCAGAAGUAUUCCUUGGGUACCGG